UUUCCGUACGAUAAGACCACUCUUGAGUUUCCUUGCUAGUUUUCAUUCAGAGAUACAAACUGCAGCUAACCCAAAUAGUGGUUAUUCCAGCAUCCUUUGAAAAACUGUCAGAGGUCUCAGUUUCUCCACAAUCUCUUGCUUGACUAACUCUCUAUAUUCUGAACAGUUUUGAAUUUAGUGCAAAUUGAAGAGAGAUGAGAGAGGAAAGGGGAGGAGAAAAGAGAGAGUGGAUUUAAAGCAAGUAAUAAAUCUGGAGGCUCUGAUUAGCUAUCCGCUGUAUUCCCCCCUGCAACCCUAUCCCAUCCCACCUUCUCACCUCAUCUACACUAUCCUGAGCAUUGGCCACAUUCCUACUUUUUUCUGCUUUUGUCCAUUCUUUUAAGUAGAGAGAUACUUGCAGACCCAUCAUCAAUGAUGAAACAGUCUACUGAGGAAAGAAGAUGUGAAGCUGGGUCUCAAGACGUUCUACUCUGCAAUCAACAACCGUUCCUCAACUUCCUUGAAGUUCCUAAUCAGGAAGGGAAGAACGGUGCUACAUAGUAAUACAACCUCACAAAGAUCCUGACGCUGAAUUCUCAUGGAAAUCUCGCCUUUUAUUGUAAAGUUUACUGUCAACCUUUAAUAAUUAAUGGUGAUCAUAUUUAAGUAUACUGAUUUCUUUUUCAUGCUAAUUAGAGAUUUUAUUAGAGGUGGUGUAGCAUAGCUGAUAAAGAUGUGGGUUCUACAGCCAUGCUACCUUGGUUCAUAUCCUAGCUCCAUCAUUUCCUAUAUAUGUGACAUUAUUUAACCUCUCUGAGUUUUAAUUUUCUCUUUCAUAAAAUAGGAAUAACAAUCAUUGUAGCAAUACAGUUGUUAGGAGAAUUAAGGUAAUGCAACGGAGCACGUAGAACAAUGCCUGACACAGAGAGAGCACUUAAUAGACAUGGGCUGUCACUAGAAAUGGCUGCUGGCUUUUUGUCAAAUUCUUUUUAAUAGCUCUUGAUAUAAUCAUGUGAUCUUCCUCCUUUAUUUUGUUCCCUUGGUGAAUCUGAAGACAUAGAUUUCCUAAUGUGAAACUGUUUUUGUCUCCUAGAAUUCUACUUGGUCAUGAAAUGAUUUUCUUUUAAUAGACAUUUGGAUUUGAUUUGCAAAGAUUUUGUUUAGACUCUUAGCAUCUAUUUUCAAAGGUAAAGUUGGCCUAUUGUCUUUUUAUAUUGUCUUUAUUAUGUUUUAGUAUUAGGGUAAACUAGUUUUAUAAAAUGUAUUUAAAUUCUUUCUUCUUUUCCUAUAGUGUAGAAUAAUUUAAACGAAAUAGAACUAUCUGUUCUUUAAAAAUGAUAUAUACCAUCUGAGACUGUGUCUUUUUAAAAGGCAGAUCUUUAAUUACCUUUCCAAUUUUUAUUUGAUUAUUGGUUUUAUUUUAGGUUUUUUUCCUGCUUAUUAAGUCAGUCUGAUCAUUUGUACUUUGCUAAAAAAAUUAUUUUCUUCCUCUAGAUUUUCAGAUUCACUGCCACGAGCUGCGCGUAUUCUCUUAUCAUUUUUGUACUUGUUGUCUAGGUCACCACCGUCUACUCUUACUCCUGUAAGUCUCUCCAGAUAAUUUGUUUCAUUUUUAGGACAAUGUUAAAAAAAAAUCCUCUUCUGUAAAAUGAGAACAAUGGGUUAAGCGGUCUGGAAGGGUCCUCUGGACUCUAACCUUCUAUGAGAUGAACCUUUGAAGAAAGGCAGUCUGGAGGGAUGAUUGAACAUGCAUACUGAAGUCUUAGGCUGCCUAGAUUCUAAUUCCAGCUCUGUCACUCACUGGCUAUGUAACCUUGGGGAAAUCCUUUGACCUUUCUGUGCUAUAGUUUUUUUCAUGUGGCAAAUAGGAAUAAAAAUGAAACCUAUUUCA
rnacentral:lncRNA from 1 species